GACGAACGCUGGCGGCGUGCCUAACACAUGCAAGUCGAACGGAAAGGCCCUGCUUGCAGGGUACUCGAGUGGGGAACGGGCGAGUAACACGGGGGUGAACUGCCAUGUACUUUGGCAUGAGCCUGGGAAAAUGGGUAUAAAACCGGAUAGGAGACAUUAUUAGCGUGAUGGUUGGAAAGUUUUUUCGGUGUAGGGUGAGUUAGCGGGCUAUCAGCUUGUUGGUGGGGUAAUGGCCUACAAAGGCGGCGACGGGUAGCCCGCCUGAGGGGGUGGACGGCGACACUGGGUCUGAGGGACGGCCCAGACGCGUACGGGAGGCAGCAGUGGGGAAUAUUGCACAAGGGGCGCAGGCCUGAUGCAGCGGCGCCUCGUGUGGUAAGACCGCUUUCUUGUGGUAAACUCCUUUCGCUAGGGACGAAGCUUUUUGUGACGGUACCUAAAGAAGAAGCACCGGCUAACUACGUG
rnacentral:rRNA from 1 species